rnacentral:rRNA from 1 species
GUCGGCCCUGCCCGGUGGGUAAGUAUAUCUAAACGGUCGCAAUGAAGAGUUGUGCUAAGGUAGCGUAAUAAAUUGUCCUUUAAUUGGGGAAAUGAAUGAAGGGGUUGACGAGGGGGAAGCUGUCUUUUUAAUAUAGUUCGAAGUUUUCUUUUACGUGAAAAGACUUAGAUUUUACAAUAAGAAGAGAAGACCCCGGCGAGCUUGUUAAGGUUUAAUAACGUUUAUUAAUUAUUGAUUUUUGUUGGGGCAACGCAAAGGGAAAAAAACUCCUUUGUAUUAAAUAAGGAUCCACUCAGAGUGAAUCAAGCAAAAGCUACCGUGGGGAUAACAGCGCAAUUUUUUCAGAGAGUUCAUAUCGAAGAGAAAGCUUGCGACCUCGAUGUUGGAUUAAGAUUUCCUUUUGGUGCAGGAGUUAAAAAGGUAGGACUGUUCGUCCUUUAAAAUCUU